UUGCAGGACAAGAUUGGGCUCUACUUGGCCCUCUCUUUGGCACAGUCUUGGCCAUUGCUUACUUCUAUGCAUCCUAUAGAGCUAAAAAAGGCCAGAAAGAUACAAGAGUGAACAGACGCAUCCAGAAAGAUGUGCCAAAAGUGGUGAAUAUGGUUGAUAUAGAAGAUAUUGGAGAAAAAGUAUCUUACUGUAGAUGUUGGAAAUCUAAGAAGUUUCCAUAUUGUGAUGGUAGUCAUAAUAAGCAUAAUGAAGAUUGUCAAGACAACGUUGGACCGAUUGUCUUGAAACGAAAAGAAGUAUGAAUAUAGAUGGUUCAAAUCAUUGAAAUCAAGAAUAAAUUCAGAACAUUGAAAUCAGGAAUGAUCUCAGAUCAUUGAAAUCAAGUAUAAUCUCAGACCAUUGAAAUCAGGAAUGAUCUCAGAACAUUGAAAUCAGGAAUGAUCUCAGAUCAUUGAAAUCAAGUAUAAUCUCAGACCAUUGAAAUCAGGAAUGAUCUCAGAACAUUGAAAUCAGGAAUGAUCUCAGAUCAUUGAAAUCAAGUAUAAUCUCAGAUCAUUGAAAUCAGGAAUGAUCUCAGAUCAUUGAAAUCGAUGCUUACUAACAAGGUGUUGGUGUUCAUUAUGUUCUUUUAAAUUUAUUAAAAUAAUCAAUAAACUUUUAUAAUAUUUUAUUAAACUAAGAUUUAUGUUUUGUUUCAUAGUGACUUUGUUAUUUCUGUUUGACACAACAAUCACAGAAUUUGAAAAUCGAUCAUACAUGUAUAUUGCAUUUCCACAACCAUGAGUUAGAAUUGUGAUGCAUCCAGCUAUGGUGUUGGAGAAAUUCUCACCAUUCUCACCAUGAGUGUAGGGACCUUAUUAUAAGAUGUUUGAGUUUUUGGAAAAGUUAUUUGGGUUGACCAUAACAAGAAUGUCAUGUGACAUAAUGACUGGCUAACACACCUGAUUGGUGAAAAUAACAGGAUUGUGAUUGUAUUUCCAUGGUUACAAUGUUGUAAUGAUACUGUCAAUAAAGCCUUGAGUAAAGUUUGUGUGGCUGUUAAUAUAUUAGUAUAAUAUGAUUAUAUGUUGAUAGUGAGUACACUAUUGUAUGUAGAAUCUAAUAUCUAUUCUCCCAUAUGGUAAUGUGUGUUGUUCAUUAGGCAAAUUAAAAAACAUCUGCACAUCCAAUGACAUUCCCCUAGUAAUUAGGAUAGGUGGGUAAUAAAUAGGUUUUGAAUAUUAAACUUUCAUGAAAAUGUUAUGAAAGCUGUAAAACACUGAUAGGAUGCACAAACUUAUUGUUAAACCUGAAUGGACAAAUCCCAGAACUUUCAGACUUAAUCUGGAAUGUGGGUGGGAGUGCUCUGCAGCCAGUUGAAAAGUGAACCCAAAAAGAUUAACAUUGAGGGGGUACACUUUGGCUUAAAAAUUGGCAAUAGUGCAUACCCAUAGUUAAAGUACGCUUUAACUAUGGGUGUAUUUCCCCAAAAUGUCCAAUAAAAUAUCAUGAACAGAUUCUCGGACAUGGCUGUGCUAAUUUCAUUCAAACUUUGUAUGAUUCUGUUUUGAGAUUUGAUUCAAACUUGUUAACUGGCGGCCUUGAUGAUUUUAUUUUCAUUUUUCAGACAUGCUUUGAUUUUGAUAUGAACCACAAAUAUGUUUUGCUAUUUGAUUGAAACUGGUUUACAUGCGAAUUAUACAGUUUUGUGUGAUGUGAUCUUAUUCCUAGGAGGUGUAGUCUUGACUGAACAAAACCUGGAUGCCAUUUGAAGUAAAACAUUAUUUUUAACAUGCUGAAUACUCUUCACUCAUUUAAUUGUAAUCUACACGUUUCAUUGUUUAAUUGACACAGUCUCACAAAAUGAAUUGAAACGUUUCAUUACAAACUUUUUUCUCCUGAAAUAAAGAGUUUGAUUAUCUGCAAACAUAUCUAAAUUACAGUUGUCAAAAACAACAAAGCCUGAAAUGGAAACCUGUGGACACUAUUUUAUUAGUAGCUUAUCCAAGUCACAGUCUGUGUUAUGUAAUGAACAAAUUAGUAAUUAUUACCUCGGUAAUAGUGAAACCAUCUUAAUGAUUAUGUAUUAAAGGCUCUGCUCAUCCAUCAUAUUGAAAAUGGAAGAAUGCAAUAUAUCCUCCACAGACUGAGAAUCUGUAAUUUCUGUAUGUUAAAUAAAGUUGAAGAUGAAUUUCUUU